rnacentral:lncRNA from 1 species
AGAAAUGAAGUCUGGGUACAUUAAAGCCAUGAGUUGGAAAUGUACUAGAAGAUGGCUAAUUUGGAGCUUGAUCUUUGGGAGACAAAAACUAAAACACAGGUUUUAGUUCAAGGAGUCAGUUGGUGACUUUGGAGAGCGUUGUGAUAGCACUGGUGUCUCCUCUCCACCUUUUGGGUUUGUGGAGCCCCAGGUUGGUGAAAGCAUCUAUGGGACUGCAAGGUGAUGCACCCAAACUCCAUGGGACACAAGUGCCUGCGCUCAGGAUCCUUCUGGACAUCACCUCAGCCCCAUUGAAUGCUAAUAAUGGAACAUAAAGGAAUGAACCUGCAAGAACAAAUAGAACAAGAAAGUGGAAGGAUGACUGCUGACUGGAGCUGUCAAUGCAGUGUUGGGAGUCAGAAAGCAGAUGAACAGGUGGGAACCGACUUUGCAGAACAGAGAAAGCUGAUGCCACUUGACUGCAAGAGACAAAGAAAACAAGAAGGAAUGAUUUGCUCCACAGCAACGCUGGGAGUUGGAAGACGUUGGAGGAAUGCCUUCCAAAUUAUGAAAGAAAAUGAUCACUAACCCAGGCUUAUACCUCUUUCAAAUUGUCAGCUAAGUGUUCUGGUACCAAUUCUAAUGUGUGUAUGUGGGCUUCUCCCCACAUCAACAGGCGAGUCUUCACAACACCAGCUGGGUGUCCUAUAAUUUAACUCAAGUCCGACACUAUCUACCUGGAGGCAGCAUCAGAUCCCACAGCUUACGGGCUCUGUUCCACAAGACUGUUUCUCCUCUCUUCAAAUGCCAAUCACAAGUCUAUGUUUUCAUCUGUGCUUCUGACUCAUUGCCUAUAAAUCAGAGAUUCCUACAACCCCCUCCUCAGGUUUGAGUAAUUUGCUAGAGUGGCUAACAGAACUCAGGAAAACUGUUUACUUAGCAUUUACCAGUUUAUUAUAAAAGGAUAUGGUAAAGGAUACAGAUGAACAUUCAGAUAGAAGACAUGCAUAGGGCAAAGUAUGUGGGAAGGGACACAGAGCUUCCGUGCCCUCUCUGGGAACACCAAGCUUCCCACUUCUCCACUUUGUCACCAACCUGGAAACUCUCAGAACCCUGCACUUUUGGGAUUUUUAUGGAGGCUUCAUCACGUAGGCGUGAUCAAUUAUUGACUCCAUUUUCAGCCCCUCACCACUCUCUACAGAAGCUGGGGGUGGGGCUGAAAAUGUCAAGCUUCUAAUCAUUAUUACUUGGGUCUUUCUGGUGACCAGCCCCCAUCCAGCAACCAUCCAGGAGCCCACCCUGAGUCACCUUGAUAGAAC